rnacentral:rRNA from 1 species
UCCGUAGGCGGGCAAUUAAGUCAGAGGUGAAAUCCCACAGCUCAACUGUGGAACUGCCUUUGAUACUGGUUGUCUUGAGUUACAGUGAAGUAGAUAGAAUAUGUAGUGUAGCGGUGAAAUGCAUAGAUAUUACAUAGAAUACCGAUUGCGAAGGCAGUCUACUAACUGUAUACUGACGCUAAUGGACGAAAGCGUGGGGAGCGAACCGGAUUAGAUACCCGAGUAGUCC